rnacentral:rRNA from 1 species
CUUAAUUUUUUUUUGUUAAACAUCUAAAAAAAAUUAAUGAGGGAGGUAAUACCUCUUGUUUGGAGUUAAUUUUAGUCUACUUUGUUGUUUUAUAUUAGAAAUCUUAUUUUAAUUUUCUAUUUAUUAACUGGCUUUUAAAGUCAGGCUGACGAUAUAGUAGCGAUUUUGUCGCAUAAAGUUCUAGGUAUUUUAACAUGGUUGAUUAUGACAAUCAAAUACCUAUUAGUCUUGACCAAAUUACGUGCCAGCAGUCGCGGUAAUACGUAGAAGACUAGUGUUAUUCAUCUUUAUUAGGUUUACAGGGUACCUAGACGGUAAGAUUAAUCUUAAACAAGAUAUGUUUUUACUAGAGUUUUAUAUGAGGAGGUGAGUAUUUGUGGAGUAGAGUUGAAAUUCUUUGAUCCCAUAACGACUGGUAAAAGCGAAAGCAACCUUUUAUGUAAUGACUGACGUUGAGGGACGAAGGCUCGGGUCGCAAACAGGAUUAGAUACCCUAGUAGUCCGAGCAGAGAAUUAUGAAUGCCAUAGGUUAGAUAGUUAUUUAGUCUAUAAAUGAAAAUGUAAGCAUUCCACCUCAAGAGUAAUGUGGCAACGCAGAAACUGAAAUCAUUAGACCGUUUCUGAAACCAGUAGUGAAGUAUGUUAUUUAAUUCGUAGGUACGCGAAAAACCUUACCACAACUUGUAUAUUAUAUUUAUCUUUUUUAAUUCUUUUUAUGUAAGAUAGUUAUAUAGGUUUUAUUUUCAUUAUUAUAUAAUAAAAAUAUAUAACCUAUGUUUCUUAAAAAGGUUAAUAUAUUACAAGCGUUGCACGGCUGUUUUUAGUUAAU